CCUACGGGUGGCAGCAGUGGGGAAUAUUGCACAAUGGGCGCAAGCCUGAUGCAGCCAUGCCGCGUGUGUGAAGAAGGCCUUCGGGUUGUAAAGCACUUUCAGCGGGGAGGAAGGCGUUAAGGUUAAUAACCUUGGCGAUUGACGUUACCCGCAGAAGAAGCACCGGCUAACUCCGUGCCAGCAGCCGCGGUAAUACGGAGGGUGCAAGCGUUAAUCGGAAUUACUGGGCGUAAAGCGCACGCAGGCGGUCUGUCAAGUCGGAUGUGAAAUCCCCGGGCUCAACCUGGGAGCUGCAUUCGAAACUGGCAGGCUAGAGUCUUGUAGAGGGGUGUAGAAUUCCAGGUGUAGCGGUGAAAUGCGUAGAGAUCUGGAGGAAUACCGGUGGCGAAGGCGGCCCCCUGGACAAAGACUGACGCUCAGGUGCGAAAGCGUGGGGAGCAGACAGGAUUAGAUACCCUGGUAGUC
rnacentral:rRNA from 1 species